ACUGAGACANGNACCAGANUCCUACGGGAGGCAGCAGUAGGGAAUCUUCCACAAUGNNCGAAAGCCAGCCGGAGCAACUCCGCGUGNGUGANGAAGGUNUUCNNNUCGUAAAACUNUGUUAUUAGGGAAGAACAUAUGUGUAAGUAAUUGNGCACAUCUUGACGGUACCUAAUCAGAAANCCACGUCUAACUACGUGCCAGCAGCCGCGGUAAUACAUAGGUGGCAAGCGUUAUCCGGAAUUAUUAGGCGUAAAGCACGCGUAGGCGGUUUUUUAAGUCUGAUGUGAAAGCCCACGNCUCAACCGUGGAGGGUCAUUGGAAACAGGAAAACUUGAGUGCAGAAGAGGAAAGUGGAAUUCCAUGUGUAGCGGUGAAAUGCGCAGAGAUAUGGAGGAACACCAGUGGCGAAGGAGACUUUCUGGUCUGUAACUGACGCUGAUGUGCNAAGGCGGGGGGAUCAAACAGG
rnacentral:rRNA from 1 species